CACGUAGGGUGCGAGCGUUGUCCGGAAUUAUUGGGCGUAAAGAGCUCGUAGGCGGGGUGUCGCGUCGGCCGUGAAAACUUACAGCUUAACUGUGAGCGUGCGGUCGAUACGGGCAUCACUGGAGUUCGGCAGGGGAGACUGGAAUUCCUGGUGUAGCGGUGAAAUGCGCAGAUAUCAGGAGGAACACCGGUGGCGAAGGCGGGUCUCUGGGCCGAUACUGACGCUGAGGAGCGAAAGCAUGGGGAGCGAACAGG
rnacentral:rRNA from 1 species